AACGCACAUUGCGCUCCUUGGUAUUCCGAGGAGCAUGCCUGUCUGAGCGUCAGUACCCACUCUCAUCGCCCCGUUUUUCGGAACGUGGGCGGUCGAGGUCCUGGGGCGUCGGUGGGUCUCACGGCCCACCCGCCCCUAACGUGGCACGCUUGCGAACCCGAAAGCCGAUCGCGACGUAGUAAGCUCAAAACUCUCGUCGAAGUCGAAAGGCUCAGGGCCGCCUCGAAACAAAACUCUCAGUUUUGACCUCAGAUCAGACAAGGAUACCCGCUGAACUUAA
rnacentral:misc_RNA from 1 species